rnacentral:tRNA from 1 species
CGGCCCGUAGCUCAAUUGGCAGAGCGUUCGCCUUAUACGCGAAUGGUUGUAGGUUCGACUCCUACCGGGCCGA